rnacentral:rRNA from 1 species
GACGAACGCUGGCGGCGCGCUUAACACAUGCAAGUCGAACGGUGAAGCUCCAGCUUGCUGGAGUGGAUCAGUGGCGAACGGGUGAGUAACACGUGAGCAACCUGCCCCAGACUCUGGAAUAAGCGCUGGAAACGGCGUCUAAUACUGGAUACGAGAUCAAGCCGCAUGGUUAUGGUCUGGAAAGUUUUUCGGUUUGGGAUGGGCUCGCGGCCUAUCAGCUUGUUGGUGAGGUAAUGGCUCACCAAGGCGACGACGGGUAGCCGGCCUGAGAGGGCGACCGGCCACACUGGGACUGAGACACGGCCCAGACUCCUACGGGAGGCAGCAGUGGGGAAUAUUGCACAAUGGGCGAAAGCCUGAUGCAGCGACGCCGCGUGAGGGAUGACGGCCUUCGGGUUGUAAACCUCUUUCAGCAGGGAAGAAGCGAAAGUGACGGUACCUGCAGAAGAAGCACCGGCUAACUACGUG